rnacentral:rRNA from 1 species
UACAGGGGGCGCGAGCGUUGCUCGGAAUCACUGGGCGUAAAGCGUACGCAGGCGGACCGUUAAGUCGGAUGUGAAAUCCCAGGGCUCAACCCUGGAAGUGCAUUCGAUACUGGCGGUCUCGAGUACGGGAGAGGAGAGCGGAAUUCCUGGUGUAGAGGUGAAAUUCGUAGAUAUCAGGAGGAACACCGGUGGCGAAAGCGGCUCUCUGGCCCGAUACUGACGCUCAUGUACGAAAGCGUGGGGAGCAAACAGG